UGUUGUCACACCUUUGGAUGACAGUGUUCAAACUGCUGCUGCAGUUCUGAGGCAUAACACAAAUAAGAGAUCCAUUAGACCAAAAUAAAGGAAUCAGUGAACCAACCUAUUUGAGGCAGAGUCAAGUAUAAAAAAACACAUCCAUAAGCAUGAUAUGACUUUCAAUAAUUGAACAGUUUGAGCUUUCCAUUGCAACACCCUUAAACGAAAUCAAGGUUUAAGCCAAAAUGAAUCAGACUAACUGUUCUUGUACUUGGUCGAUCUGCUCCAAUUUUGCAAGUAAAUCCACAUCGAGAUUCGAGAUCGGUCAAGGGAUCAGAAAAACUAUCUAACCAAGUUAAGAAACCAUAGGAGAACGAAAUACAGAAAGUCUAAUUCGAAAACCGUCGGAUCCUUGGGGUCUAGGCUUGCAGAUAAGGAAACGAGAGACAAAAAGAGAAGGGGAAUACCAAGGGGACGAGAGAUGCGGUGG